rnacentral:rRNA from 1 species
CAGCCGCCGCGGUAACACGGAGGGAGCUAGCGUUGUUCGGAAUUACUGGGCGUAAAGCGCACGUAGGCGGCUUUGUAAGUCAGAGGUGAAAGCCUGGAGCUCAACUCCAGAACUGCCUUUGAGACUGCAUCGCUCGAAUCCGGGAGAGGUGAGUGGAAUUCCGAGUGUAGAGGUGAAAUUCGUAGAUAUUCGGAAGAACACCAGUGGCGAAGGCGGCUCACUGGACCGGUAUUGACGCUGAGGUGCGAAAGCGUGGGGAGCAAACAGGAUUAGAUACCCCUGUAGUCCCUGUCUCUUAUAC